GCGGGUCCACCAUCAGGGUGCAUUGCAAUUCUGGGCCCUGAGAUGGAAAGGUGUGAUUCAUGGGUUAUGAAAGGGGUGGGCUUUUGUGGACAGGGUUUUGGCUGUGCACUCAGGGAUUAUUAAGUAAUGGCUGUGUGUGCAUGGGGCCUUUUUUUUAGUUUUCCAUUUUAAUUGUUGACCCACCAGCCAUGGGGCUCAGGAGGCAGAUGGGCUUAUUUUUGGGACCCGCAGCUCUGCUGUUGUAUCUCAGAUAGUCUCUGAAUAUAAUAUGGUCGACGGGCCAGCCUUCGGCAGUUUUAACCCAUAUGAGCUCUCUGCUGCCACCAAGUGGCCAGCAUCUCCUAUAAAUACCUGCUCAGAAGACCUACCUGUCCUUUAUGAAAUGGCUGCUGUGAAAGCUCCAGGUAUCUUACACACACAGGUCAUCUGUAUACGGGGGUCUCUGAUGCAAAUAAUACACAUGUGCAAACAACUGCGACACAGGCUUCAAACAGUUUCUGCCAACUGAAGUUGUAUAACCAUACAGUAAAGAAAAGAAAAACUACUAUGAAAUGGAUAUAAAGAGAGAAGACCAAACUGCUGAUACAUCAAACAAUGAAAAAAUAACUACAGAAACUGCCAAAGGUCUGAGAGGAAGACUGCUCACUGGAACAGAUUCAAUGCUGCCUUCCCAUCACAAUGAAGAUUUCCUGUCAAUGGUCUAUCAAAUUUGUAUUUUUUGGAAAUGUCUGUUUUUGAAAUUGUAUAUUUUGGUUAUUGUAUGUAUUAAACCUUUUACAAAAUAA